rnacentral:tRNA from 8 species
GCCGGCGUGUCGGAAUUGGCAGACGAGACAGACUCAAAAUCUGUUGUCCUUACGGGCGUAUGGGUUCGAGUCCCAUUGCCGGCA